rnacentral:rRNA from 1 species
AGAGUUUGAUCCUGGCUCAGGAUGAACGCUGGCGGCGUGCCUAAUACAUGCAAGUCGAACGGACAUCGUAAGAUGUUAGUGGCGACCGGGUGCGUAACACGUAGCUGACCUGCCCCUCAGCGGGGGACAACAGUGCGAAAGCGCUGCUAAUACCGCAUACGCUCCCCAGGAUUAGAUGCCUGGGGCGGAAACUUACGGGGUUGAGGGAGGGAGCUGCGGCCCAUCAGGUAGUUGGUGAGGUAGAAGCUCACCAAGCCGACGACGGGUAGGGGGCCUGAGAGGGUGGUCCCCCACACUGGGACUGACACACGGCCCAGACUCCUACGGGAGGCAGCAGUAAGGGAUAUUGCGCAAUGGGCGAAAGCCUGACGCAGCAACGCCGCGUGGAGGAUGACGGCCUUCGGGUUGUAAACUCCUUUGGACCCGGACGAGGAAGGACGGUACGGGUCGAACAAGUCACGGCUAACUACGUGCCAGCCGCCGCGGUAAUAC